rnacentral:rRNA from 1 species
UGGGGAAUAUUGGACAAUGGGGGGAACCCUGAUCCAGCCAUGCCGCGUGUGUGAAGAAGGCCUUAUGGUUGUAAAGCACUUUAAGCGAGGAGGAGGGUACUGGUAUUAAUACUACCAGGUACUGGACGUUACUCGCAGAAUAAGCACCGGCUAACUCUGUGCCAGCAGCCGCGGUAAUACAGAGGGUGCGAGCGUUAAUCGGAUUUACUGGGCGUAAAGCGUGCGUAGGCGGCUAAUUGAGUCGGAUGUGAAAUCCCUGAGCUUAACUUAGGAAUUGCAUUCGAUACUGGUCAGCUAGAGUAUGGGAGAGGAUGGUAGAAUUCCAGGUGUAGCGGUGAAAUGCGUAGAGAUCUGGAGGAAUACCGAUGGCGAAGGCAGCCAUCUGGCCUAAUACUGACGCUGAGGUACGAAAGCAUGGGGAGCAAACAGG